rnacentral:lncRNA from 1 species
AGUUCAAAAGGGGAAAAUAUAUUCAUUUACUCCUCAAUCUUUUCGGCAGCAGUGUAAAGUUGCUCACGCUUUUCUUCAACAGCCUUGGCUCUGCGUUGACGAGCAGCCUUGGCACGAGCACGACGAGCAUCUUGUUGCUCUUGGAUCAACUUAGUACGGUUGGCCUCAGCCUUGGCACGUUGAAUAUGCUCAAUUAAAGCACGCUUGUGUUUAAAGGUGUUACCCUUAGCUUCCAAAUAAAGAGUGUGAUAAAGAUGCUUAUCAAUCUUGCCAGACUCACGAUACUUGCGAAGAAGACGACGCAAAACACGUUGACGGCGCAUCCAAACAACAGCAGAGGGCAUACGAGCUUCGGCAGUACCCUUACGCUUACCGUAACCGGUGUGACGACCAAGACGCUUGGCGGCAUGGGUCUUACGAAUGCGGAAGCGAGAAUGCAUCAAGUUAGGCUUGCGAAUAACCAAACCGUCCUUAAUCAACUUACGGACGUUUUGACGGCUGUUGGCAUUGCUGAUUUCGCUGAUUUCAUUAGGAUCCAUCCAAACUUUGCGUUUGCCGCAUUUAAGGACGGAUGCAGCAAGUCGCUUCUGCGUUCUAAGAUUGGCCAUUUUUCUUGCUGUUUUUGGUGGACGGACAAUCUUUCUUAAACAGGCGUGGUCAAUUCUUUUGUUUUUGGGGCAGUCACGUUUAGGGUAGGGUUGGGUGAUAAUUCAGUACUCUGCUAUGAGGAACAAUGACAACGAAUAAAGAAUAAAAAAAGUAUUUAGAAAAUUUAUUAACAUUACCAAAUGCUUUGACUGAAGUAAAUAUGAUUAUUAAAAUUAUCCCUUACAUUCGUUGAAUCAGUUACCGAAUAUGCACAUUGUGUUUCAUUAUUUUAGAGGAUGCAAACUGAAAGGUAUAGCAGAUACUCGUAAUACAGUAUAUUGAGGCUCAUUAACCUUGAAAAGGCACUUAAUAAUCCAAUCUAAGUAAUAAUAAUAAUAUAAAUAAAAUUAUAAAACUAUGGUUAAACUCAUCAUUUAGAAUUCAAUCAUGUACGAUAAAGUGAAACCUUUCUCUAAAUAUUAAAGAGAAACUUUAAUAUUCUGCCGUCGGAAAGGGUUAUCAAAAUAGUAUCUUCAUACAGUCCUAUAUCUUGAACCUUACAUUCUUUUUCGUAAUCAGAUACGGGCUUAUUGUGGAUGUUUGUGCAAGUUAGCAUUAGCGGAGAUACGAUUGAUUGAUAAUUUGUAUCAUGAAGAUCCCAAACACAAAUAUCGGCACAGUUUUUGGAUACAGAAACAAUUCUUCCACAAGAAAAUAGUUUAGAUAUCUGAACACCACAAACGUGUCCUAAGAGACGACCUAAAAAUUUUAUCCGUAAUUCGUUGUUAGUUGAAUAAAGCCUCUGCAAAAUUAAAGAAUUGUCCGGAUGAGAUGUCAAAAUAUAGGACCCAUACAUAAAAAUAGCAGAAGCAGGUUGCUGAGAGUACUCAAUGUCUUUGUUGUCAUGCAAUGCAAGCCUACUACUUUUGACGCAAUAUUCGUUGAAAACAAAUUCUUGCAAACUAACGGUCCAUCCACCAGAUAGAACAUAAUCAUUAAAAACUACAUGAACAACUUCAUAUCCUUCUUUUGAUUGCUGAAAGUGAAUAGCAACCUGUUUUUCAAUACUUGAAACAUGAUAUUUACCAAGUACUUUCAAUUUGGUUCCAGCUUGAUGAGAAUGCUGAAGUAUAUAUAAAUUGUUGUCGUUUGUCAAUCCACAAAU